AAUCUGUUGUCUUUAUGAUUUGUAGACUAAUAGUGAAGAAGCAAAUUGAAAGUAGCACACUGCUCUUUAUGGCCAACAAUUUUUCAAGAUAGAUAGAUUCAUAGAAAGAAAUGAAAAUUCGAUUACAAGCUGAUUUUGAUAAUACAAGGAAUAAGCUUGACUCGAGAGAGAUGAAACCAACGGAAGAUUCUUCCUCCGUCGUUUCAACAAACCGACGAUUACGAAGACGGCGCCACCAAAUUUUGCCAAUACCACAACUCAUCGCCGCCGUCGGCAUAGCCCAACCAACGACCUUGACCUUCCUCAAUAUGCUUCAUCAAUGGCAAGUAACCACCACGACGAUUUAAUAGAUUCUCCGUCGCCGCCUCGCUCGAGGAUUAUGGUCGGUGGCAAAUAGAUGUAUUGGAAGAGGUU
rnacentral:lncRNA from 1 species